GUUUCUGCCUGCAGCUAGACCAGGAAGAAAGGAGACUGAGCAGAGGAAAUGAAAGAGUAAAGGAGAGGAGAGAGUGGGUAGGACACAAAGCUGAGGUGACUGAAGCAGCAGGAAGUAGGCAGGGCAUGAAGAAUUGGGAUUCAAAGCCCUUGAAUUUAGUUCCCAACUUCACUUAUGGGGCAAUGCUCCAAGUCACUCAGUCACCCUGAACUUCAGCUGGAGAAGGGGAACAGGAAUAAUGCCUAUCUUCCAGGAGUGUUCUGCACAAAACUGAAGGCACAGAUGAAAAAGCACUCUGCAAAUUAAAAGAGAAGGAUGGAUAGAGAAAAGCAUCAUUACAAAAGUGAAAUGUGUGAAUUUUAUUCUGGCUUUGAACAUUGAGUAGACGAAGAAGACAAUUCCAGACGGAGGAAACUCCACAAGAAAUAUCAUGGAAAUUUGAAAGAACACAGUGGGCUUGGGAAGAGAGAUCUCAGUGGUGGAAGCACCAUCAUCCCAAGGAGACUUAGGACAUUAUUUGAAGAGAGUUUUCCCCUGAGGAAAGUGCUUCAGAGGAGAAAAUACACCAGAAAAAGACAAGGCCCUGCUCUGAGGAGUGAAGACACAAUCCAGCAGGCAGGAGGGAUGGCUAAGUUCAAAGUCUUGAGAAGUGCCCCUCAUGGACACCCCAGGGUGCCCAUCUCCAGGUUACCACCAGGUGCUUCCAAGACCAAGAUAACCAGGCAAUCAUAGUAGAUGCAUCAAUGCACCCUUGCCCAAGGGCCUAGACAAGAGGAGGAAGGAAAGGAGGAGCACGUGCACAAAGCUAAGGAGGUGAUUAACAACAUGAUACAGUAUUGUUUAGCUUCGCAUGAAUUUUAUCACCUUGCCUAGAACCAGCCACCAUCUGCCAGGGCUCCUGACUUUUUCUGAAAUGAAUAGACACUAAAGCCUGCUGGGGAAUUUCAUGGAAAUCAAGAUGACUCAACCCAGAGUCCAUUUCAAGGCUAGGAUGCUAGAGGACGCCAACAAAGGAGUAGGGAAGUGAAACGGAUCAGCUCACAUCCAAGCCCUUGCAUGAUCAAUCCUGCAGUAGGAGUGCUGCUCAGUUGGGACUCAUGAGAGCCCGGAAGAGGAAAAAGCAGCUCUAAGCAUAGCAAAGAAGCUGUUAUGGAAAAGACCCAAAUGUUAAAAUGGUGGACAUAGUAAAGUGAUUGGUUCUGCUUAGGGGAAUCUAGAUCCCCACAUUUUGACCUCCACUGGAGUCUCAGAAGAACAAGUGCCAGGGGGGCUUGCCACAGAGGCCAAGGCAGUGAAUGUCAGGCACAUCACAGUCCCCAAGAUGGGGAGAAGACUGAGAUGCAGGGUAACAACUGCAAUCCAUUCAUGGGAGCCAUGUUUAUCUUAAAUCAUUGACAGUGAGAUAAGGAUCAUGUCAGCCUUCAUACCUUUGAUGAUGAUCCCAGGCUGCAACAGUGACACAUAGAACUGGAUUCAGUAACUAACUACAGAUUCCAUCAACCAGGACUAGUAAAGUGAAAGGCAGAAAUUGGGAGGAGGGGUUUCUUUCUUGCUUAUAAAACUUUAUUUGGUUGUGUUGAGUAUGUGCAUGUAUGUAUGAAAUCCCAUAAAGCAGUCUUCUUAGGAACAAGCCAACAUGCCACAAUGUAGGAGAUCUUUGGAGCACUGGCCUAAAUGGCAGAGAGCUCAAGGGACUCUGCUUUGUACAAGGCAUGAUUUGUACCACCACCACUAUCCCUGUUUCAGAGCACUGUUGAAUUGUUCCAAACCUGGAUUUCUAUGUCAGCUCCCUGUCUAUAGUACUUGACUGAUAAAUGCUAGUUUCUGAAAUCUGCUUUGGUUCUAUAAUUUAUUAGACAGCUUUUUCUUCCCAUUUUAUUACUUGUUUUUACUGUCAUUGGUAUAUUAUCUCUUACAGUGAAAACAUUCAUAGGCUGAUUGAAGAGAAGAUCUGAAAUUAUUAGGCAGCAAGCAUACAAAACCCUUGCUUUAUAAAGAUAAUAUCUUAAAGGCCUAAUGUCUAUGGUUCAAAGCAGCCUGGAGAUGUUGGCUAAAUCUUCCAUCAUAGAGUCCUCAUGGGAUCUGGAAGCUCUGAUUUAUCUUCCUUCAGGCCCUAUAAGUUAGCUUUCCACAUCUGUAGGUUCCACAAUCAACCUUGGAUCAAAAACAUUUGAAA
rnacentral:lncRNA from 10 species